AUGAUUUGGGUUCAUGGAGCUUUCUGGAUAUUUAAGAGAAAGAAGCCCUUUCACCAAAGGUUGAGCUCUCCCAGCAGAUGCAUGCCCCAGCGUGCUGGCAGCAGAGAAGCCCCUUGUGAGGAAGCAUCUCCCUGCAUUCAUAGCCACAGAGGUUGGGACUGUGUGAGCACCCCUAGUGGAGAGCCCAGAACAGAGAUGGGAGGUGGCAGAGAUGCCCUCUGCCUGGAAGGCACCCUUACCUCAGUGAGCAACCUCACCUUCCUUCUCAGCUCAGGACGUGACCCACGUUGCAAGGUGCAUCUCAACAGCUGUGACCUGACUAACAAAGUGGUGAUCUGGAGAUGUGUCCCGUUGAAAUCACUGGGAUCAACUAUCAAGGUCAAAGCAAGGUUUGCAUCUGCCGCUGAUCUGAAGCCUACUGCAGAUGUUUGCUCAGAGCUUUAUUUUUCAGACUGCAUGCUUUUGUUGACUUUGAUAGGAUUAUUUGCCCCAGUUUAGUGCAUGGAGUCACAGCCGUAUGUGUGGGUCUGGGCUUUAAUCUGCUAUCAGAAGCCUCCGUUCACAUUCCUCCCCCUGUCCCUGCACUACAGAUCUCACCUUCUUGCAUUAUGUCUACUCAAACCUGCUGCAAAAUGUUUUGUCCACUCACAGGUAUAGCUGAAAAAUCAUAGUGCAGAAGACAGAGUGUUACCCUGUGCUUGAGAGCAUCUGUAGAAAUGUGGAGCUGCUGGCAUUGAACUCGUGCUUUAUGAUGAACACCAGUAUAUAUUUAGUCUUCUUAAAUAUUAUUUGAUAUAUAUAUAUAUAUAUUAUUAUGAUGCUGCUUGAAUCAGUGUAGGGAUGGAGUGAAAGUAUUAUUUGGAACAGAGGAUUAGGAAAAUAAUUCUAUCAAAAAAAUUAGCAUGUUGGAUAAAAACAUGUGGCCAUAUGGAUUGCAACCAAUAACACCCAAAGAUUUUAAGACUGAAGUCACACCAAAGGAAGAAGUAAACACUGUCCCUGUCUGCUGGCAACAUUCUGCUUUCAGCUGCUGUUAUCAUUUCAAAAUAACCCUCAUGUGAGUGAGUGGAAGAGAAUUCCUUGUGCUGCACCUCAGCAUGGAUGCUGUGCUCUUGUUCUUCCGUGUGGUGCAUAUCACAGAGGAGGAAGCUGAAGGAACUCACUGCAUGUGUUCUCCCAUCCUACCAAGUCCAGAAAUGCCUUUCAGAGCAGUACUGUACGGUCACAAAACUGUACUCAGUUAAAAGACUGUUGUGACAUUAUUAUUAGAAAUAGCUGCAGCAACGACUUGCCAAAUGAACCAUUAAAAGAAAACCAGAUUCACUGAACCACAGCAAAAUUCAUUAAAGCUUGCUUUGGGCAACAUAUGGUUUUUGAAGGUCUCUAUCUUUUUAACCAUUCAUCUCUUCCAGUAUCUGUGGCAAAGCCCUCCACCUCUCCUUUUGUUUCAUUUGAAUGUAAAUACUCAUGUACAAUAAUGCACGUUUCCUUUAGUGACAAGCUCACUUGGCAGUGUCACUGGUACAUCAGACAAUCUACCGACACAUAGAAAUGUGAACAUCCAAAACAAACAAACAAAAAACCACGAACAAACAAAAAACAACAACUUUAUACUGUUAAAGUAAGUGAUAAAUUAUUUCUGCUUGGGGAACACUAGUUAAGACUUUUUGGCUGUUGCUUUUUCUCUUUAGUUGAGUAGUUUCUGGUCUUCAGUCUAAAGUUUCAGAGAUCCUAAACGACAUUUAUUUCAGGUGAUGAAUGAGAGAUCCAAACCCGAUUCCUGUAAAUGGAAGACUCACAAUUAGAGCCCACUGUGUAAAGUACGGGCAGUAGCUUGCCUGUUCCUCGGAGCACGUGCCCACACUGCCGUCUAGCUUCUGCAGAGGUUGUUGCACGCUUUUGCUUCAUUCUAGCUGAUUACAUUCAUACGCUGGGCAGCAUUACCGAGCCACCUGUGGUGGCUGGGGCAUCACGACAUGGGCUUCUGUUCUUGGACAGGGUCCCCUGACAUGCCACCCUCUGCUGGUCUCGGUGCUGUCUUCCACUUGCUGUGCCUCUCUCCUGUCCUUAUUCUGUGUCUCAUGCUAUAUAUACCAUGCAUACAACUAUUUUUUCUCUUUCACCACAAAAAUCUUAAGUUUUCUCGUUAGGACUACAGGCAUCUUAUAUACAGUCACUACUGGGAUCUUAAAAGGUCAUUAGGCUUCCAUUUACUAUGCUAUGAGCUUGUGUAUAUUUACCAAAAUCUGUAUUUAUACAGUUUUUAGGUUACAGGUAGUGUUGCAAAAAAAAGCAGACAGGAAAAUAGAAAGCAAAUACUUAUUAUUAAGACAACAGGGAUCUGUUAAACUGUGGCUUGAACUUGUGUAAUUCGUCCAAACAAUCUGUAAUGCAGGAAUUAAGCCAUUACGUUCCAGCUUCCUUGCUGCUAUAAUUCAGGAGAAAUUGAUUAUCAUUGGUAGAUUAAGGUGUUUUGAGGUAGAAUUCAGCCCACGGUUUCCUGUUUUGUUUCCAUUUCUUGACUUUCUUCCACAGUCUUCAUUAAGUAAUUCAGCUACAGCAUUAGCUAUCCUUACAUAUUCCUGUCAACCUUAUAAUUAACAUGUAUCCAUGGGUACUGCCUCACGUUAGUGAGGCAAGGUCGCAUUUGAAGGGGAAUCUUUUUGCAUCCGUUGAAGCAGCUGUUAGUGUGGCUGCAUACCUGGAUGAAUCAAUUAAUCAUUUCAUUAAGCUAAAGUGCCUCUUAGCGAUGCUAAUCAAAAGCAUGCUGAUCACAAUUUUCCCAAACAACCCCCUGAAACCUAAACAAACAAACAGAACACUUCGUGACUAACAAACACGCUCUGCUGUCACAAACAGGCUAAGCUUUGUUUAACAUAAUCAUCAUAAUAAUAAGAUCUGAAGGGGAUUUCGUCGGCAUUAUGAAUAUGUUCCUUUAGGGAUGAUAGGCAUUAGCAAAAGAGCCAUCCCUGGUGAUUGCAUCUGAAUGGUUAAUGCUGCUGAAGGCAUGGUUAUUUGCUAUACCAUUUUGGACAGGAAACGUUUUCUGAUCUUCACUGCAUCUUUGUGGGUGAGGAGAGCUGGCUGCUCCUGGCCCUUCCUGGGACACCCCUGGUGCAAGCUGAGGGGUUUUGCACAUGCUCCCUGACUUCCACAGGCAAGCACAGGACUAGCCAAGCACAGAGUUUGGAAGGGAAGGGGAGCUGGAAUACACAACACAGGUGGUAGUGCUGAAAGUGGGCAGCUUCAGGGGAAUUUUCCUGAGAGGUAUGCAUGUACAUGUAAAUAAAUGAGACAACUGGCAUCAAAACUGCAUAGGAACUGAAUUUUUAACAGUUAAUGCUGAUGUGCUGAGUUUGUAUUCUCUUUUCUCCUGAAAUUAGGUAUCUGUUAAUGUAAUUUCUUAAAUUACUUUAAAUCCGGGAUCUGAAUCCUGGGCACUGAUCCCUAUGGCAUCAGCAUUAAAGCAAUGCACAUCUGCUGGGCACAAGAGUCAGAGUGAAGAUUUUCUCCAGCGUGAGAAACUGAGCUGAUUCUAAACCUCAAGUUUUUGGGAUUUCUCUGGUUACUUGCAGCUCUCCAGAGCUGUGGGCUCUGCUUCCCACUGCAGGGAGCAUCUGAGAGUCUCCAGAGGUUGCUGGAGACCUGUGGGGCCGGCAGGGAAGCGGUGCUGCGGUGCACUUCUCCAUCUGGUGGCUGCCUGGGGGUGAAGCAGCUCAGGGUGCUCACAGCAGCUCAGCUACCCUGAAGGCACAAGGCUCCCUGGAAAAAGAGAGAGAGGCAGAGGGUGUUGUCUGUCUGCACAUACACCUUCGCAGGGGGCACUGGCACAGCCUGUGGCAGUUUUUAUGUAUUUGUGAGGAGCCCUACUGGCAGUCCCAGGGCUGUGGCUGCUGCUUGGGGCACAGGAGCAAGGUCCCUGCUGGGUGGAUGAAGCUCUGCUGCUAGCAGAAGCCCGGGGAGCUGAGCCCAGCCUCGCAGGGGAAGGCUUUUCCCCAGCCUGAGGAGGUCUGUGGGUCUGAAGGGGUGACACAGGUCAGGGUGAGGAGCCAUCAGGCUUCUGCUCCUGCCAGCCCCAUGCUAAUGAGCUGCCGCACCCCAUAUUGUGACCCCUUCAGAAUUCUAACGGUUUUGGGUCACAGUUGAGCUGCCUCAGGCAGAAGCUCUGUGUCCUCCUCCGAGGCAGGUCGCAGUUCACGAGCUCUCUUCGAGUGAGCGUCAGGCAGCGGGUGUAAGCAGCUCCCAGCAAGGGAAAGCGGCUCCCAGCUGCCCAUUUUCGUGACUCCGGAGUCACAGCUGGUCUCUCUGAGCGGAUCCCACCUUGCCUAAGAGCUGACACACGCAGACAGCAGUUAGAAGGUGGAUCACGGAGGACCCUUGCAGAUCGUGUAGAGAUGUGGUGCAGAUGUCCGCAGGUAAGAGGCCUGAUAGCAGUGAUAGAAGUAAGUAAUGGGGAGGGGCUCAGCCCCAGUGCCCAGAGCAGAAAUGGUGCGUGUACCCCAGAUUCAGUUACUGGGUAAACGCAGUGAGUAAACCCAGAGGCAGUGCCAGCACUAGGACUGCCAAUCACAGCACAUAUGCCUGAGAAUUGGUGAGCGGGAGUGUUUCCGUCUCCCCCAGAUGCUACAAGUAAAUGUGUGUGUGCAGGUCGAUGUAAUUUGCUAGCAAACUUCCAGCCUGCCCUGGGAAUGGGCUGGGCUACCGGGCGGGCAGAGGCUUGUGCUGGUGUCCUGUGGGGAGCAGUUGGGGGCACUGGGGCUGUUUGGUCUGGGGAAGAGGAGGCUGAGGGGAGACCUCAUUGCUGUCUGCGCCUGCCUCAAAGGAGUGUGUGGGGAGCUGGGGGGGGGGGGCGGCCUUUUCUAAAAAAUAACUGGUGACAGGACUGGAGGGAACGGCCUCCAGUUGCGCUGGGGAGGUUUGGGUGGGAAAUGAGGGGACAUUUCUCCUCA
rnacentral:lncRNA from 1 species